rnacentral:lncRNA from 1 species
ACCGAACAUAAAGGUAAAUGGAAUUAAAAUAGAAAAGAAGUUAAGCAUACAUUCGUUGUGAUUACAGCAAAUCCACUUCGAUAUACCUACUUGGCCAUGCAAUUGUACUUCCUAAUGCAUCUUCCAAAAGAAAAAGCUCACGCGUGGGACGAUAUAAGCUAACAUUAUCGAUCACUUCAUUAACCCAAACUCUCCAACAUUCAUUACCAAGGGGUACAUGAUGCACUAGAUCAUUUGGAUUUGUUGAUGUGAUUUCACCUUUUGCAACAAUACCAGCUUUCCCAAACCAAGAUAACAAUUUGCACUUCUUACUUUGAAGGUUAUCUAGACCAUUCAAGCUUCUAUCUCUAGAUUGUAAAAUUAAUAUUCAGUUGUACAAUUUAUUUUUUUGAAUAUAGAAAGUAUAUGUAAUUUAAAAUAACAUUCAUUGAUUCUAGAUUUCCACUUACAUUAUCUUCUUGUUCAGCACUUUUACUCUUCACUUGAAACAGAGCCUUUAAUUCUUUAAUUUCAUCCCUCAACUCUUGAACUUGAGUUUGCAAGUUAUGAUUGUGUACCAAAGCAUUCUACUUUGAAGGAGUCGCACCGAAACCAAGACCUCUUACCUUUCCUGGACGUUCUGGACCAAGUACUUUUGCAACACCAUCACCUUCAAGUGAGUGUUUGCUUGGAGAGAAAAUCGUCUCUGAAUAUGCUUUUAUUUUAUUCUGAUAUGAGGAAAUACAUUAAUGAGCUAAAAUUACCUAAUAUAAACUUUAAAUGAUAAAAAAUUACUAAAAGCUAUAUUGUUACCAAUGUUUCCCCAACUGAUUCAUUAAUAGGUUCACCAUUUUUUCUCGUAUGCCCUCGAAUAUAAACAUUGUCUCUCGUUACCAAAUCAGGAUCUUCACUUUCAGCAUGCUUCAUUUUACAUUUCAUGUGUGGUAGUUUGUAUAACAUUUAUAAUUUUUAAAACAUAUAUAACUUUAAUUUAACAAUUUUUUACCAUUUCAGCUUCUAAGCGAGCAAAACCCUUUCUACUUGUUGUAUGCAACAUGAUUUGACUUGCUCUCAUCUUUUUGAAUCUUUC